rnacentral:tRNA from 1 species
AUUUAUAUAGUAUAAAUUAGUAUAAUUAAUUUCCAAUUAAUAGGUUUAUUGAUAAUAUAAAUA